UACGAAGGGAGCUAGCGUUGUUCGGAAUUACUGGGCGUAAAGGGCGUGUAGGCGGUCCGGAAAGUCAGAUGUGAAAGCCCUGGGCUCAACCCGGGAACUGCGUUUGAUACUGCCGGUCUUGAAUUCGGGAGAGGUGAGUGGAAUUCCCAGUGUAGAGGUGAAAUUCGUAGAGAUUGGGAAGAACACCCGUGGCGAAGGCGGCUCACUGGACCGACAUUGACGCUGAGACGCGAAAGCGUGGGGAGCAAACAGG
rnacentral:rRNA from 1 species